rnacentral:rRNA from 1 species
AGAGUGAACGCUGGUGGCAGGCCUAACACAUGCAAGUCGAACGGCAGCACAGGAGAGCUUGCUCUCUGGGUGGCGAGUGGCGGACGGGUGAGGAAUACAUCGGGAUCUGCCUUAUCGUGGGGGAUAACGUAGGGAAACUUACGCUAAUACCGCAUACGACCUACGGGUGAAAGCGGAGGACCUUCGGGCUUCGCGCGAUAAGAUGAGCCGAUGUCGGAUUAGCUAGUUGGCGGGUAAAGCCCACAAGGCGACGAUCCGUAGCUGGUCUGAGAGGAUGAUCAGCCACACUGGGACUGAGACACGG